ACGAGAUUUCCUGCUUUACCAUGCAGAGAUGAAUGUGUUUUCUGUGAUUGGAUGGUGUAGUCUACUGAUGUUAGUUCAAGGUGUGAGCUCUCAGCUGCUGUUCUUACUGCUUGUGAUCUGCUGACCACUCCUUACCAUUUGAGACUCCAGCCUUCUGAAACUUCACUGAUCAAAAUAUGCAUUUGGGGGACCCAAUAUGUUCCAGAGACAUUGUCCUCAAGAAGAAUUGAAAACCUGUAAUAGAUGGUUCAUCAGCUUUAUUUAUAACUUUCUAUCUUGAAAGCAA